UCAAAGGCUCUUUUCAGAGCCACCUACUUUCUCGGAAGAGAGCUGU
rfam:Loxodonta africana unplaced genomic scaffold scaffold_44, whole genome shotgun sequence.